rnacentral:snRNA from 1 species
AUCGCUUCUCGGCCUUUUGGCUAAGAUCAAGUGUAGUAUCUGUUCUUAUCAGUUUAAUAUCUGAUAACGUCCCCUAUCUGGGGACCAUAUAUUAAAAUGGAUUUUUGGAACAGGGAGAUGGAAGAAGAGCUUGCUCUGGUCCACUCCAACGCAUCGACCUGGUAUUGCAGUACCUCCAGGACCGGUGCACCUCUC